CUAUUCUUUGCAAUCAAAUAAGAGUGUUAAUGUUACUCUUAUCUCAUUCUCCUCAUAUUAUCAUUAUUGUUAUUAUUUUCCUGGUGAUAACUCAUUUUCUGGCUUGUAUUGUGCCACAGGGUUUGGGAUUGGCUUUGUAUCUUUCUUGCCCCAGUGAAGGGGAGGGAGUAUGAUAUAGAAAAAUGUUUGCUCUGUAAUACUGAACAACUUGUUUACCCUUUCUUAUCCCUGUUUCAUUUCUGCAAAAUGGAGGUAAUAGUGCUAUGCCUGUUAAGUAUUCAAGUCUCUUAUGAAAAUCAAAUGAAGCAAUGUUCAUGAAAGCAUUUUGGAAAGCCUGAGGUGCUUAAAAAGACCAAGUUUCACUAUGAGUAAAUACGAAUAUGGCCACUGUUCAUUACUGCAUUCCUGGAUUUCAGUUUUCCAUUUGCCCUCCUCUCUUAUAGUUUACAACCCUUUUUGUGACUAGAAUCUCCUGGUUACAGCCUGAGACUAUAGCCCUUUUCUGACUUUUUAGUUCUUAGGACUUUCCCAGAGGCUUACUUAUAAAAUUUUGAGGCAGGAGUAGCUAAACCUCAGUUUCCUGUUCUGGCAAAUGUGGAUAAUCAUAUUUGUCUGACCUAUUUCACAGAGUUCGUGUAAGAAAAUGGAUUUACUGUCCAUUUCCAUGAUGGGAGGGACUCUGAAAACAAUGAGGUUUUUUCCUAUCCAUAUCCUUUUAGAUCUCCUGGAACAUUUACUGCUGAGGUAAACCUGGUAAGCAAAUGUGUCAUUGGAUCGCUGCUGAACAAGAAAGGAACACCUCACCUGGCCCUUGAGCGUUGUGAAACUUCCCUUGGACUUAUUAAAGUUAAGAAAAUGACAAACAGGAAAAGACCUAUUAAUCGAAUACCAAAUGCCCUGAAACAGACUCUUCCUUCUGUGGCAAAUCAAACAGUAAGUGUGGAGAUGCAAUUCCUUCUGGGUACAGAAAGUCAGAAUGCUAGGUAUCAGCAGUGUAAAGA
rnacentral:lncRNA from 1 species